rnacentral:misc_RNA from 1 species
ACACCCUCAAGCUCCUGCUUGGUGUUGGGCGUCUGUCCUCCGGUAACUGCUGCCCUGUUGUGACUGUUACGUUGGACUCGCCUCAAAGGCAUUGGUAGUGGUCCUGCCGGACCUCCUAAUCGCGCAGCACUGUUCGCGCUUCCUGGAGCCCGUGCGGAUUCAACGUCCAUCAAGCCCAAUCUUCUGA